rnacentral:rRNA from 1 species
UGCUUACAACAUGCAAGUCGAACGGUGAAGCCAAGAUUGCUUGGUGGAUCAGUGGCGAACGGGUGAGUAACACGUGAGCAKCCUGCCCUGAACUCUGGGAUAAGCGCUGGAAACGGCGUCUAAUACUGGAUAUGAGCUGCGGAGGCAUCUUCGUGGUUGGAAAGAUUUUUCGGUUNNNNAUGGGCUCGCGGCCUAUCAGCUUGUUGGUGAGGUAAUGGCUCACCAAGGCGUCGACGGGUAGCCGGCCUGAGAGGGUGACCGGCCACACUGGGACUGAGACACGGCCCAGACUCUACGGGAGGCAGCAGUGGGGAAUAUUGCACAAUGGGCGGAAGCUUGAUGCAGCAACGCCGCGUGAGGGAUGACGGCUUCGGGUUGUAAACCUCUUUUAGCAGGGAAGAAGCGAAAGUGACGGUACCUGCAGAAAAAGCGCCGGCUAACUACGUGCCAGCAGCCGCGGUAAUACGUAGGGCGCAACCGUUAUCCGGAAUUAUUGGGCGUAAAGAGCUCGUAGGCGGUUUGUCGCGUCUGCUGUGAAAUCCCGAGGCUCAACCUCGGGUGUGCAGUGGGUACGGGCAGACUAGAGUGCGGUAGGGGAGAUUGGAAUUCCUGGUGUAGCGGUGGAAUGCGCAGAUAUCAGGAGGAACACCGAUGGCGAAGGCAGAUCUCUGGGCCGUAACUGACGCUGAGGAGCGAAAGGGUGGGGAGCAAAGAGGCUUAGAUACCCUGGUAGUCCACCCCGUAAACGUUGGGAACUAGUUGUGGGGUCCAUUCCUCGGAUUCCGUGACGCAGCUAACGCAUUAAGUUCCCCGCCUGGGGAGUACGGCCGCAAGGCUAAAACUCAAAGGAAUUGACGGGGACCCGCACAAGCGGCGGAGCAUGCGGAUUAAUUCGAUGCAACGCGAAGAACCUUACCAAGGCUUGACAUACACGAGAACGCUGCAGAAAUGUAGAACUCUUUGGACACUCGUGAACAGGUGGUGCAUGGUUGUCGUCAGCUCGUGUCGUGAGAUGUUGGGUUAAGUCCCGCAACGAGCGCAACCCUCGUUCUAUGUUGCCAGCACGUAAUGGUGGGAACUCAUGGGAUACUGCCGGGGUCAACUCGGAGGAAGGUGGGGUAGACGUCAAAUCAUCAUGCCCCUUAUGUCUUGGGCUUCACGCAUGCUACAAUGGCCGGUACAAAGGGCUGCAAUACCGCGAGGUGGAGCGAAUCCCAAAAAGCCGGUCCCAGUUCGGAUUGAGGUCUGCAACUCGACCUCAUGAAGUCGGAGUCGCUAGUAAUCGCAGAUCAGCAACGCUGCGGUGAAUACGUUCCCGGGUCUUGUACACACCGCCCGUCAAGUCAUGAAAGUCGGUAACACCUGAAGCCGGUGGCCCAACCCUUGUGGAGGGAGCCGUCGAAGGUGGGAUCGGUAAUUAGGACUAAGUCGUAACAAGGUAGCCGUACCGGAAGGUGCGCUGGAUCACCUCC